GCAGACACAUUCCAGCCAAUCAGCAGCAGACCCUCCCUCCCAGGCCCUCCCACCUCCUGGACAGCAUCCAUUUUACAUUCAUUGUGAGGCUGCAUUCUUAGUGAGCUGUCCAGGAGGUGGGAGGGUCUGGGAGGGAGGGUCUGCUGCUGAUUGGCUGGAAUGUGUCUG